GCCGCUCUCCUGUCAAGUUGAUGCGGCGGCGUUUCCCGGGAAGAGCGGGGUGGUGGAGCCCAGCCGACGUCCGGACCGGCUUUCGGUCCACACGACAGUGGCAGUCAUCCUGCACUCGCGCGGUCUCAGGCGAAGGGAGUCAGGUCCGCACCCGUCCGUUGUUCCCGUGCGAUUGAGCAGGCAAAGCGGCCUCUGACCGACCGCGAGUGGCGUGAGUCUGCGCUGUUCCCCUGGGUUAGACAGAGACCAGAGACGACACCAAUUCUCAAAGAGAAAAAAAAAAAUCCAGUCCCAGAAUUACCGCCUCUUCCUGACAAACAACUUUCAAAAGACCUCACUUCCUUAAACGUAUCCGCAAAUCAAUUGACUACACACCCGCAUCCUACCGUCCUUUCCAACAGCGCCUUACCUGUGUUUUACGUGUUGUGUAGACUCCCUUGGUCCAGCAGGCAACAAAUCAUUGCUCCGCUGCAAAUCUGUUCCGGUUAUUCUCUGGCUGUGAUAGGUGGAUCUGCCCAGCAGGCCUCCAGGCCACUCUUUGAAGUCUUCACUGCUCUCAGAAAGCCCUCCUCCAAGACCGCUGCAGGAUUUUGAAAUAACAGAACUUUGUCUCCUGUCCUCACCUCUCACCCACUUCUCAGCCCACCCCAACUUGGCAUCACACAUUGGUCUCUAGAGCAGCUCUCACUAAGCUUGCUGGUGACUUCCCACUCCUGCAAAUAGACAUCAUUCUAUGUGAAAUCUGGCAGUGUUUGCCACUCGGCCUGUCUUUCCCUUACAACCAGAGUGCAUCUGUUGGAUUAUAUAGUGAAAGUAUAUCUAGUUUCAGAAGAAAUUACCAGUGUGUUCCAACAUGGCUGCUGCAUUUUACAUUCCCACCACCAGGGAAGGAGAGUGCCUGCUCUCUUUAUCUGUGCCAGCAUCUGUUCUCAGUAUUCUGGAUUUGAACAUUCUAACAGUGGUGUGGUUAGUAAACUUUGAAGUCAAAUUACAAAAAAAAAAGUGCAUGAAUUAUAAAGCUGAGUGACUUUCACAAGCAGGCACAGUUGUAUAACAAAGAUCCACAAAAAAAAAAAAAAAAUGCAGAGCACUUUGCACAUUAUAGAAGCCAUUUCAGUCAUGACCUCAGGAGAUGAUCAUGGAUAGCACUCUGCCGUGGAAUUUGCCUGCUUAAACUGCAUGGGUGGAAUAAUACAAGACAGAAAACACAGAAUGACUUCCAAUGUCUUUUUUGAAAAAAAUUUUAUUACGUGUACAGUAUUCUGUCUGCAUGUAUCCCUGCAGACCAGAAGAGGGCACCAGAUCUCAUUACAGAUGGUUGUGAGCCACCAUGUGGUCGCUGGGAAUUGAACUCAGGACCUCUGGAAGAGCAGUCAGUGCUUAUAACCUCUGAGCCAUCUCUCCAGCCCUCUUUCAAUGUCAUCUUUGUGACUUUCCUCCACAUUGUUAAGACUGUAGUCUACUCAUUUAGAUAUGCCUCUCCUUGUCUAACUCUCCUAGUGAACACAUAGGUUUGGGCUUGUUUAGAGCUGUUGCCCACAAUGCUGUGAACAUUCCUAUCUAUCUGAUGAGCACAGAUUUUCAUUUCUAUAGGAAAAUGCUCAGAGAUUGGAUCAUUGGGUCAAAAGCUAUCUUUAUUAUAUUGAGCUAUAUUAACUCAAUACUCUUAGUUGACUUUUGUUUUGUUGAGAUCAAGUCCUGCUGUGUGACCCAGGUGGAAAUUUACCACGCAGACCAGGGUGGCCUGAAAGGUGGAGUGAUUCUCCUGCCUCAGUCUUCCAAGUGCUGGGAUUAUAAAUGUGCCACCAUCUCCACUGGUAAACUGUGAUCAAAUACACAUCGUAGGUUACAAGUUUAGCUGGGCAGUGGUGGCGCAUGCCUUUAAUCCCAGAACUGGGAGGCAGAGGCAGGCAGAUCUGUGUUUGAGGCCAGCCUGGUUACAAAGCGAGUUCUAGGGUGGCCAGAGCUAAACAGAAAAAUCUUGACACUGUGCCCCCCAAAAGGUUACAAGUUCAGUCACAUUGAAGUAAGCAAUCAUGCCAAGCACAUUCAUGUCUCAAGCCACCACUGUAGGAACACAGUCCAAGAAUGGAAUCCUGUGGGAAUUUGGAGUGCUCAGUUUUUUCAAAACACAGACUUCUUGGAAUGUGUUUUUGUGCUCCUGCCAGGUGUGGUGGAUAGAAAUGAGGUUCAGAAUACUCAUUGCUUGCACCUGUUAUUCAAUUAAAUGCUUUAUAGGCCUCUAUGGAAAACCACAUUUUUGUCAAGUGCAGCUUGUGAUUGUACACUUUACCCAUGUGAUUCUUCAUCAGAAUAAAUUGAUGCUAUGCAUAAAA
ensembl:lncRNA